rnacentral:tRNA from 1 species
GGAGAGAUGGCCGAGUGGCUGAAGGCGCACGAUUGGAAAUCUUGUAUGCAUCGAAAGGUGCAUCGAGGGUUCGAAUCCCUCUCUCUCCA